GAUUAGAAGCUUGCUUCUAUGACGUUAGCGGCGGACGGGUGAGUAACACGUGGGCAACCUGCCUGUAAGACUGGGAUAACUUCGGGAAACCGAAGCUAAUACCGGAUAGGAUCUUCUCCUUCAUGGGAGAUGAUUGAAAGAUGGUUUCGGCUAUCACUUACAGAUGGGCCCGCGGUGCAUUAGCUAGUUGGUGAGGUAACGGCUCACCAAGGCAACGAUGCAUAGCCGACCUGAGAGGGUGAUCGGCCACACUGGGACUGAGACACGGCCCAGACUCCUACGGGAGGCAGCAGUAGGGAAUCUUCCGCAAUGGACGAAAGUCUGACGGAGCAACGCCGCGUGAGUGAUGAAGGCUUUCGGGUCGUAAAACUCUGUUGUUAGGGAAGAACAAGUACGAGAGUAACUGCUCGUACCUUGACGGUACCUAACCAGAAAGCCACGGCUAACUACGUGCCAGCAGCCGCGGUAAUACGUAGGUGGCAAGCGUUAUCCGGAAUUAUUGGGCGUAAAGCGCGCGCAGGCGGUUUCUUAAGUCUGAUGUGAAAGCCCACGGCUCAACCGUGGAGGGUCAUUGGAAACUGGGGAACUUGAGUGCAGAAGAGAAAAGCGGAAUUCCACGUGUAGCGGUGAAAUGCGUAGAGAUGUGGAGGAACACCAGUGGCGAAGGCGGCUUUUUGGUCUGUAACUGACGCUGAGGCGCGAAAGCGU
rnacentral:rRNA from 1 species